rnacentral:tRNA from 1 species
GCGAGAGUGGCGGAACUGGCAGACGCGCUGGAUUUAGGAUCCAGUAGGGCGACCUAUGGGGGUUCGAGUCCCCCCUCUCGCACCA